GGAAGUUCAAGUCUUCCCAGGCCCACCAUAUUUGCGCGCUUCGAUCAUUGAAGCUGCUGCUCGUGUCGACAUCGCAUCUGCAAAACAUUGGUUCUCAAUGUUGAGCAUUCGUCUCUGGAACGGGGGCAUAGCUCAGCUGGGAGAGCGCGUGCUUUGCAAGCAUGAGGUCGUCGGUUCGAUCCCGUCUGCCUCCACCAGAAACUGGUUAGGAUGGCGAUGAGUGAUCAAAAACAACUACACACAGUGUGUUCGCAGUGAGCGCCAUUCGGGCAGCUCCUGGACAGUCCGCAAUUAACUUCGCUUGCAGCAUCCUUGAUGCCGCUUGCGGGAUUUAUGACAUCGUAAAGAGGAAAUCGAUCCGAACAGGAUCUUGGGACGCAAGUCGCAAGAACACUGUGUAAUCUCCCGGAUCAGAGCGAACGCUUGCAGGUUUAAUGACUUGCUCGCUUCCGUGACUGAUCCGUUCUGGUGAAGCUUGACCGCAUUGCCAUCGGUUCGAUUUUGAGAAGCAAAUAACUGGUCUUUCUAAAUCAUAUCCAGCUGCUUGAAGUUCGUGAUGCUUGACCGCGUCGCGGGCGGAUUUUGUGUUUCGACACAAGACAGCUUGCAGCAAACUCUGCCGAGUGUGUGGAUAUUGAUAAUGAGAGCAAUCAAGUGUCUUAAGGGUAUUCGGUGGAUGCCUUGGCAAUGAGAGGCGAUGAAGGACGUGCUACGCUGCGAUAAGCUAUGGGGAGCCGCGAAGAGGCUUUGAUCCAUAGAUUUCCG
rnacentral:misc_RNA from 1 species